rnacentral:rRNA from 1 species
AGCGGCGACGGGUGAGUAACACGUGGGUAACCUACCUAUAAGACUGGGAUAACUUCGGGAAACCGUAGCUAAUACCGGAUAAUAUUUCGAACCGCAUGGUUCGAUAGUGAAAGAUGGUUUUGCUAUCACUUAUAGAUGGACCCGCGCCGUAUUAGCUAGUUGGUAAGGUAACGGCUUACCAAGGCGACGAUACGUAGCCGACCUGAGAGGGUGAUCGGGCCACACUGGAACUGAGACACGGUCCAGACUCCUACGGGAGGCAGCAGCU